UACGUAGGGUGCGAGCGUUAAUCGGAAUUACUGGGCGUAAAGAGCGCGCAGGCGGUCGUUCAAGUCGCGUGUGGAAGCCCCCGGCUCAACUGGGGAGGGUCACGCGAUACUGAUCGACUCGAAGGCAGGAGAGGGAAGUGGAAUUCCCGGUGUAGUGGUGAAAUGCGUAGAUAUCGGGAGGAACACCAGUGGCGAAGGCGACUUCCUGGCCUGUUCUUGACGCUGAGGCGCGAAAGCUAGGGGAGCAAACGGG
rnacentral:rRNA from 1 species